UUGGAAUCGAGGCGGACAAUGUAAUCCAUUGGAAAACUAUACUUAUUUCCAAUGGAUUACAUUGUCUGCCUCGAUUCCAA
rnacentral:miRNA from 1 species